UACGUAGGGUGCGAGCGUUAAUCGGAAUUACUGGGCGUAAAGCGUGCGCAGGCGGUGAGCUGUGUCCGAUGUGAAAGCCCCGGGCUUAACCUGGGAAUGGCAUUGGAAACUGGCUGCUGGAGUGUGGCAGAGGGGGGUGGAAUUCCGCGGUGUAGCAGUGAAAUGCGUAGAGAUGCGGAGGAACACCGAUGGCGAAGGCAGCCCCCCUGGGCUAACACUGAC
rnacentral:rRNA from 1 species